rnacentral:rRNA from 1 species
UACGGGGGGGGCAAGCGUUGUUCGGAAUUACUGGGCGUAAAGGGCUCGUAGGUGGCCAACUAAGUCAGACGUGAAAUCCCUCGGCUUAACCGGGGAACUGCGUCUGAUACUGGAUGGCUUGAGUUCGGGAGAGGGUAGCGGAAUUCCCAGUGUAGCGGUGAAAUGCGUAGAUACUGGGAGGAACACCGGUGGCGAAGGCGGCUACCUGGACCGGUACUGACGCUGAGGCACGAAAGCGUGGGGAGCAAACAGG